GGACAGCCAUUAUUAUAAUAAGACAAGAAAAGCAAAACGUAAGAUGGAGGGAAAAGCAAUAAAGGCCAGAAUUAUGGUAAAACCAAUGGAAAUACAAACAGAGAUUCUGGUAAGAGUUUAGAGGCAGAAUCAUUUCAAUUUUGUGAUCAAUUUAAUGACUGGAGCUAAAGAAAUGAGGUGUGGGAGAAAACGUGAUGGGUCUAAAAUUUGAGUUACUAGAGAAUAGGAUAUUUGAGAAUAGAGAUCUCAGCAGGAGGGAUAAUUGGAGGUGGGGGAAUGCAUAAUGAUUUUUGUUGAUUUUGUUGAUCAUUCUCACUUUACAUUCUAUUCUUAAGUGGGCCUAUUUUGCUGCUCAGGAAUCCUGUUAUAUUUCUAUACAAAAUCUCUUCAAUUUUUCUAGAUGAAUGGUUUUCAAACUGUACCUUGCAGCCCAUUAGUGUGUCACGAAAUAUUUACUGAGUCACUACACACGUUUUGUGAAUAAAAUAGAGUAGAAUUGAAGCGACAGUAGGUGAAGUAAGGGUAUUAUUUCCUGAAGCUCUUGUUUCAGGUGUGUGAGUGUGUGAGCGAGAGAGAGAGAGAGUGUGUGUGUGUGUGUGUGUUGUGAAUUUACAUCCUGGAUAGUGAUAUUUCUUAUUCUGUGUUUCUGUCAAAAACUUUCAAUAGCUGCUCUCCUAGAUAAUUAUUUUACAGAUUCUCUUUUCUCCUCAAAUCUCCAAAUCUCCUCUCCCUCCCCACUGUCAGUUGAUAAUCCGUUUACUUCACUGAGAAAUUAGAAGUACUAAAGGAGAACUUCACACUUUUUCAUCAUUGAAUUAAUCAUAUGCUUAUAUCUGUGUUCACUUAGAUUUUGUUCUGCUAGAAUGGUUGUUGCAUCAGUGUUCCUCCUUAAAACCAAUGUCCUCAAUCCUAACCUCCCCACAUAGGCAAGGACACAAGGAUAUCACACCUAUGGUUAUCCUCUCUCUUGCAGCAGCUUUGCCUUCUUUAUCACUUAGUACCAUGAGAAUGCAAACACUGUAUUAUUUCUCCUCAUCCUUAAAAAAAUGCCACCUCUGGACUCACAUUCCAUCCAGCAAACACCAAGCUACCCCUCUUUACUCAUCUCCCUCGUACAACAAAACCUCUUGAAAAAGUUGUUCUUCUUCCUGUCUCCACCUCUUGUUCUGCUCUCUCUUGAUCCCUCCCAAGGAAGCCCAUGUUCACCACUACACUAGCCUUUUUAUUUCCUGUCAAUAAAAAUAGUGACUUUCAUGUUAAUAAGCUCAAUGGUCAAUUUCCCAGUCUUCCUAGAAGUACUUGUCCAUUCUCUGUUGAAACAUGUGCUUACUGUUCUGUAUUUCAGUCGCUCUUUCUAAUCUCUUCCCAUCUUUCUGACUGUUAAAGUUUGGAGUGUCCCAGAGCUCAGUCCUCACAUCUGGACUUCUUUAUCUAUACUUGUUCCUUAAAGAUCUCAUCCUAUCCGGGGACUUUUAUUUAAACAUAUAUUGGUUAACAAAUCGCAUGUUUUAGUUUGCUUCAGCUCAUCUUUGAACUCCAGACUUACAUAUCUAAAUACCUAAUCAAUAUUUCCCCUCAGAUGCCUAAUAGACACUUCAUAUUUAGCAGGGUCACAGCCAUACUCUUUAUUUCACCACCCUCCAAAACCUGUUCAACCCAGUCUUUUGCUUCAUAAUGAAUAGAAACUCCAAUCUACCAGUUUCCAUGGCUCAGUCAUCCUUGACUACUCUCUUUCAUACCAAAGUCAGGUCUUUCAGCAAGUUCUUUCAGGUCUUCCUCUAAAAUAGAUCCCGAAUCUCACCACUUUUUAAAGGCUUCAUCAUUGCCACUUCUGUACAAGCUCUCACCUUUUUUUUCCAUUAUCACAUUUUAUGUCACACUCUGUUUGUUUUUUUUUUUUAAUUAAUAUUCCCGGCAAUCCAAAUAUGUCACACUCUUAACAGAUCUAACUGCUUUCACACCUAGGAACAUUCAGUCACUUCUUCACAAAGCAGCCAAAGUGUUCCUUUGCAAGUAUAAGUCAUUUAUUGUUAUUUCUUUGCUCAAAACUCUCCUAUAACUUCUUUAAUUUGGAGAAAAAGUCAAGGUCAGGAUCCUUACUAUAGUCCACAAGGUGCUUUGUGAUAUGAGAUCCUAAAAUCUUUUUGACCUGAUAUUUCUAUAUGUACUCUGUGUGUGUGCAUGUGUGUGUGUGUGUGUGUAAGAGGUGGUAAGAUCUGAACACAGUGUGCCCGUGGCACACAGACUGAGAGGUGCAAUUCAAGCUAAGCAUUCCCUUAGGGGACCAAUUAAUAAUGAUUCCAUAGGAAUCAUUGUGCAGCACCUCUGUCUGUUCUGCAAAGCAAUCUUCCUAAACAAGUACCUUCAUUUUUUCUAACUGGGUCCAAUCCUGUUUACAAAUAGGUUUUUGAGGGCGGUAUGCCUCAAUUAUAGGAGCAGAUUUAUUAUGGUAAAUACUGAGAUCAGAAAGCAUGUGUAACUGUGUCAUAGAGUGAUUACAUCCAGGCAUUAUUGCCAGCCAAGAUUGAUAAAUAUGCCCAAUAAGUAUAAUUGUUCUCUGUGUCAGCUCUUGUUGAAGAAAUACUCACAGCAAUAGUGAUCACCACUAUCAUAGCUACCAUUAAAUUAUUCAUUGUGACUGGUUGUCCUGCUUUCCUCAGAUUUUCUUCCGCCAUCUCUGACAGCUUCUUGAUCUGUCCCCAGGUGGGUGCUGCGCUCGACAGGUGUUGCUUGUGACAGAUGGGGUCCUCCUCAGCGUCAGUCUCAACAUGGCUGCAACUGAGGGGUCCUGGGGAUCCUCCCGGAAUCUGACUCAUAAGGUUUCAGGUGUCUUGAUGGUAUCCAAAUCAGCUGUUGAUUUUUGCCUGGAGAAACACAAGCAUAACCUCUACCCCAAGUUAUUAUUUUACCUUCAGAAUUAUAUGGGAUACCAGUAAUGUGUUUAAUAUUCCACAUAGAGAAAAAUUUAGCCAGAGCUUGGCUAGUAUAGCCAGGGGCAUUAUCUGUUUUAAUAGAAACUGGGAUGCCCAUCACCGCAAAACAUUGCAAAAGAUGACAUUUAACACAGGCAGAAGACUCUCCUGUUUGGCAUAUAGCCCAGACAAAGUGAGAAAAGGUGUCCACACACACAUGUACAUAAGCGAGUCUCCGAAACGAGGGAACAGGUGUGACAUCCAUUUGCCAAAGUGAGUUAGGUUCCAGUCCUCAAGGAUUAACUCCUCCACAGGGAUUGCUUUAAGAGUACUCGGUGUCCUCCAGCUAGUUUUCCGUUCCAACCAUCGCUCUUGCGACCCUUCGACCUGGAUUCGAGCCCCCACGAAUGGAAGCCACUUGCUGAGACCAGCUCGGUGGAGGAGACCCUAACCCAGCAGCUUUCUCAGCUUCUGGGAAUGCUGACAGUUGAUGGCUCACAGGCGAAUCCUUCCUUCCAAGUUUCACCCUCAGCUGAAGAGAGCUGCGGUGGUUGACACAAGGAGCCCUCUGCCACUCCCCCAUUCACUCCUUGAAUGCCAAUCUCUGUCUCAGAACCGCUUUCCAGGGAGUCUGACUGUGAGAGUCUUCAACAAGGACCCCAUGUUAAAAAAAAAAAAAAAAAGAAUUCUUCCGUGCUUCCUUCUAUAACAGUUUAAUCACAUACACAAACGUAUGUAGGC
rnacentral:lncRNA from 10 species